ensembl:lncRNA
UCUUUAAUAACUACACAUUUAUUUCAAGACUUCAGACCAACUUUAUCAACAACACUGAAUGCUCAUAAAUAUCUUCACAAAAAAUAAAGGCAAUCUUUCAGAAAACAUGUUCAGUACAACACUUGCAUCAGUAGAAAUUCUGUCCUUUGGGUGGCAGAAAAGUCAUAAUCCCCAUUUAAAUCUUUCCAAAGGGACAUAACCAGGAAUCUAAACCAGAAGGCGAUUUUUUCAUUAAUUGUUAUGGAAAGCACAAACAAUGCUUCCAAAACACUGAAAGACUGCACUGUUUCAAUAAGCAUGUAUGGGUUUACAAUCAAUAGUCACUGUCCUGUAAACAUUGAAACUGCUGGUCUAACUGCAAGAUAAGAUUAGUAAUUUGCACUCAUUUCACUGCACACGUACAAUGGCUACACUGUUAAUUACAUUAACUAGCAAAAGGAAUGAAGGCUUUAAGCUGGAUCACUCCUACAAGCCAAGUGUCAAAUCAGUAUCUGUUGACAUUAUAAAUAAAACUUUAACAUUGCUUUUAUGCAUUAUAAAAUCAGUCUAAUAAAACUAAAUCUUAGAAUAGCAGCCAAUUGUAACUGUUCAAAAAUAUAUAUGAAUUUUCAGUCAGUCAGCUAUAAAUACGUACUGCAAUGGGAGGAAGAUACCAUCUCUCAUUCCCAAGCAGGCUUUCAAGGAGGACACAGUAUAAAGCAAGGAAUGCUGCAGUAAGACUCCUAAACAGUUGCAUUCUACAAACUUGUUUUCAUCGUUACCUGAAAGUGCAUCUUUGUAUCUGUAGAAUCAUCCCCAUAUCUACAAAAAAGUACAAACAUUGCAAUUUUGCCACACUCUAAGCCUGUCUAACCUGGAUUUUCUGUUAAGUGCAAAACGUGUAUGAAGUGAUACAUGCCCUGGUACAUAUAAGAUCAAAACCUAAAGAUGAGGCAACGCUUGUCACCAUGAAUCCAAGGUAGUUCAGUAGUUGCUGAGUCUUUACUGGAGAGCUAUUAAAUGGCUGAAGUAGAAGCUGAAGAAGAAAUUAACCAGCAGUCUAAGCCCAACAGCCAGGGCCAUGUUCUAGAGCAGGAUGUCCGUUCCCCUGCUCUCCACACACCUUCACCACCACAGACUCCUGCCUUUGUUACUAGUUUCAGUGGGGUCCAAAGGGCAGGGAGGCAGCCUAGCGGAAGAGGAAAAGCACAGUUACUGUGAAGGUUGUAAGGAAGAGGUAUGAGGCACAGACUGAGAGUAUCUAAUGCCAGGUCACUCAAGCUCACCCCUCCAGCGCAUCCCCAGUUUCAGUGCUGGAGUAUGGAUCGUUGGCUGUGCCACACAGGGUGUACCUGCACACAGUCAGUACAUUACAAAACACCUAUGCAGCUAAAUCUGUUGAGUGACAUUAAGUCCUUUUUAUGUGUCACAACAGCUCCUCUUACCUUCUGCUCCCACAAAAUGAGGCUUCAUUUCAUAAUGUCACAUUUAUAUGCCAACAGACUGCUGCAGACUAAUGUGCAUGCGUAAAUGCUUAACAAUUCCAAACAGCUGAUAUUUCCAAAGUGAGUAUAUUGUUUGCUCUUUAAAGAAAUGCAAUCUGCACAAUACUUGUAAGAGGGUAACUGUGAAGAUUAAUGAACAAUUGUCUAUACCAGUUAAUUUAGUUUUCUCCCUUAUUUAAGUCUUGCAGUGAACUAUGCUACAGCUUCUUCUAGUUUUUAAAAUGCUGAAAUAGCCACUGCCAUUAGACAUGCACAAACUUCAUUAAAAUCUAAAAGAGCAAGAGGAGCUCAAACUGUGCAGAGACUGUACUAUAAACACAGUUGUGCUUUCAUUAUAUUGGCAUCAUGUCUUCUUGUAAAGCACAUGCCCAUUAGAAAUAUGUGCUGGGAAACUCAGAGGGAGCAGAAAGAGAGCAAGCUCUGCCUCCUGUCCAAAAUUGGUAAGAGAAAGAUCCAGAAGUGAGUGCUAUCAGAAUGGUGUAACACAGCAAAAGCUGUACAGGUAGGCACUGUGAAAGGAAAUACAAUAAGGCUUAUUUUUAAAGGGUGUGUUUCAUGUGCACGUGAAAAAGUUUUUGGCAAAAUAACAGUUUCAUUUAAAAAUCAAUGCAAUUAAAAGUAUCAGUUUUAACUAUACAAAUCAAGUGUGAAAGCCAUGGGGGAAAAGCAGCAAAUGUUCUGAAGUAGCACCUGUAUCCUAGGGAUGAGCCUUCGAAUUUGGGUUCUAAUUCAAGACAGAGGUAAUGUCUUUACCCCUCGAAACAGAUUUUAACCAGCUGACCACCUUCUCUUGUCUGCAGGAGCGGGGUAUCUGAAAUGAAGCAUGGUUUUCAGGACCCUUCUCUCCCCCAUGCUGGCAAAGAAUUGUAGGACACUAGUAAAAGGUCUGGAACGCAUAUCUCGGCAGGAGAGAUGCUAGCUUUGCUGUCUGUGCCUGCCAUGGUUUACAGGCAAGGUAAAGGGCAGGGCAGUGCAGAGAGUGUGCUCAGAGUAGUAAUGAGCCCGCGUCUCCUCCUUGUCUAUAGAUGACGGUUCCUGGUCCUGUGUCCCUGAUGUUGAUUGACACUUAAUUUUGACAGAACCAAGCCUCUUCCCAACACUUUUGUUACUGAAUUAUUUAAAGCACUUGGACAAGUUACCACUAGGUUCUCACAGCACUCAAAGACUCAGUGCUAAGAAUCAGUUAUCUGCCCACUACCAUGUAAAUUAUAUGGCACUGUUUUGCUCAAUGUAAAGGAUAAGUCAAAAUAACUCAAAAUGUUUCAUAUUAACUGCAAAGAGUUAUCUACUCUCUUCAAGGAAGUCUUACAUACUAUGGAAGAAAAUACUAGACCUUCUCAGAUACUAUGUGUGAUGAAAACGUAAGAAAAAAAUGUAUCUUGAUAUGCAGGCCUUUACACACACAGAUAAAACAGGAACAUCUUAAUAGAGGGGUUAAACAUUGAGUUUCUCCUUUUUAAAAGCUGUACAGCAGCUUUUCUAUCUAAACUGCCCAGGAAUCUGUUUUGUCUUCAAAACAUACCAAGCAUUAUUUUAUGAUGCACAGAGACCUUAAAUGCUAGGUGUAUUUUUCUUAAGACAUGUUUUCAUUCCAGUGUGGCACUUGUCUGCUGAAACAACACAUAGGAGUUGGGUUCUGGAAGAAAAGAAAAAGUCAAAAAAAAAGAAAACUCAAAGCCUUCCUGUUCUGCACCAGGAUCCCCUCUGACAGUCAUGAGGAGAACACAUUCUGUCACCUUGCUACCACAACAUUACCUAACACAGGCUGGUGCAGUGUUCCAGGGCUGGAAAAUCCCCAUGGAAGGAUAUGCCACAGUAAGGGGCCCUCUGAUUAAAAUACCGUGACCCGAGAGUUUCAUGUUAUUUCAGAUAACAGAUACUGAGCAAGAGGAAGAGAGAGACAGAUCCUUAAUGAGCCAAGAACAUGAAACACUGUCAGCUGCAGGAUUCUGUACGUCUGGAAAAACAGUAAGACAGGUUGAUUUACUUAGGCUGCAGAAGAUGGUCAGUACCAGAAAGCUGAAAGCUUACACAUGUUUUCUGUAACAAAAAGUCAAGUUUUCCUCUCCAUUACUGAGUCAGCCACUGGAAAAAAGACCAUGCAUUCUUUCUCCUGCUCUGAGGGCACAAAGCAAUUUCUCUGGCUUUCUGGACAACUACAAGCAGCAAUCAAUUUCACAUUUCCUCUCUAAUUUGUAAGCUUCAUCCUGAGAGAGCAUACCCUGAAAUACAACAAUUUACCCUUCUUAUUUGUAAUGCUGGUACCACGAUGUCAGAAGAGCUUCAGCUGAUCCUUCAUGCCCAGGUUCUGAAGCAGAGACAACCCUGUAUUUAAUGUUCAGGAGAUGGGGAUUUUAUCUCUACUAUCCACACUAUCUCCUUCAUAGCAUGACUCCAGUUUGCAUGCUGAAUAAAGAGAUAACAUGUAAUCCACAUGGUGAACAUGAAGAACAUCCCUAAAAUUAAAUGAACAAUUUUAACAAUUAACAGGCUUCACUGAAAACACGAGUCAGUCCUCUAAAUGCAUCUCUACUAGAACACUAAGAAUAGAAGGAAUCACUGAAUAGGAGGGAGAAGCUGCAGGCAGGUGCCAUUUCUGCAUGGCUGUUUGUUCAUAGCUUUAGCUGUAUCAUUCUGUUGCUACAGAUGACUGUCUUGCAGCACCCACAUUGACACGCUUGUCUGCACUAUGACUGGAAAGCAGAAAGCGCAGGUACUGAUCAGAUGUAGCUGAAGCUGGCACAGUGCUUAGAGUACAUACUGAUGAGCAAGACCCACCAAGAACUGCCUAAGCACGUGACUGGCUUCAACACAAAACAGCUUUUGUGUAUUUCAAAGUUAUACUACAGUCCCCUGAAGCAGCUGGAGAAGUUUCCCUAGAGGCAUUGGCAAGAGGAACGCUCCUAAAGCUUGAGUGAUUAAUUCAUACCAUCCAUAGAUAGAUUAGUUAUUACCAUGCAGCAGAGGACAAGUAAGCCCACUUGGCUAGCAAAGGGGGUUUUGGCCAACAUAGCUUAAAGUAUCUCCAAGCAGCAGAUGCACACAAGUGGCAAAACCAAGCAGCACAACUGGCUCAGAGGGCCCCUUGUGUAUGAUGCUGACCUGAAGUGAAAGGUUCAGUCACUAGAGAACCACAGUGAGAUGAGACCAGCAGAGAUGCAAGUGAAGGCCAACACGACUACGGCCAUGGACAGCAGAUGUAUAAUAGUGCAUGGCAGAUCAUCAUGUCUGCUCUAAUGCCAGUCUCGAGCAGGAAGCUAUUCUAGAUCCCCACAAAAAAGAAGUACUGGAUCCCCACAUCUUCAGCAAAUGGUAAGCACAGAGAGGUGAUGUCACAGGACAUGACGGAGGAAUGGCCUCUGAGAAGCACACACACACACACCAAGUGAGAAAAGACAGCCACUGUGUCCCUGGGCCCACACUGAUAAAAUCUACCAAGGCCUUGAGGAGGCUGUCCAGGUAAGUGAGUUUUCAUGACGGCUGUUGCAUUCCCAGUUACCUGGAACCUGCAGCAUGUUAUGCACACACUACAGGCUUCAGUACCUCCUCAGGCUCCUCAGUGAAGGUAUGCUAUACUUCGGUUCAGCUCUAACAUAUGACUGUGCUCAUUUACUGACGUGAAUGCUAAAUGGUACUUCUUUUACCCUAAUCAGUGAUUAUUCUUUUAGUCUUCUAGCUUGCUGUUAGCUAACAGUCCAACUGUGACAAAUUAAUCACAAGUAAAGACAAAAAGAAAAGUCUGGUGUCAAAGGUAAUGGUUUCAAUGAUAGAAAACCAUCAGUAGAAUAUAAUACCACCUCAUGUGUUCUCGUUCCUCUUUCGUAUCAGAGUGUAGCUGCUGAAAUUCGAAUGCCUUUUAAAAUAGGGUUUGGCUGAAUAAUAUAGGAGAAACUAAGCUGCAGUUGAAAACUUGCUCUACAAACUGUUUCCCCUUCAUUCAUUCUGUCCAAAUACUGUUGAACUAAACUCUGAAAUAUUUUG